rnacentral:tRNA from 1 species
GCCUUCGUGGUGUAGUGGUCAGCAUGCUUGACGGGUAACCGAGAGUUCCGUGGUUCGAUUCCCGGCGAAGGUU